rnacentral:rRNA from 1 species
GACGAGGGAUCCUAGCGUUGCUCGGAAUUAUUGGGCGUAAAGCGGGUGUAGGUGGCUUAGCAAGUCGGGUGUGAAAGCCCAGGGCUUAACCCUGGAAGUGCAUUCGAUACUGCUGAGCUUGAGUGCGAGAGAGGUUAAUAGAAUACCUGGUGUAGUGGUGAAAUACGUAGAUAUCAGGUGGAACACCGGAGGCGAAGGCGGUUAACUGGCUCGACACUGACACUGAGACCCGAAAGUGCGGGGAUCAAACAGG